rnacentral:rRNA from 1 species
GCAGUGGGGAAUAUUGCGCAAUGGGGGAAACCCUGACGCAGCGACGCCGCGUGUAGGAAGAAGGCUUUCGGGUCGUAAACUACUGUCAGGAGGGAAGAAACUGUUUAGGUCGAAUAGGCCUAUUCACUGACGGUACCUCCAGAGGAAGCACCGGCUAACUCCGUGCCAGCAGCCGCGGUAAUACGGAGGGUGCGAGCGUUAAUCGGAAUCACUGGGCGUAAAGCGUGCGUAGGCGGCGCAGCAAGUCAGACGUGAAAGCCCUCGGCUCAACCGAGGAAUUGCGUUUGAAACUGCUGUGCUUGAGUCUCGGAGAGGUUGGCGGAAUUCCAGGUGUAGGAGUGAAAUCCGUAGAUAUCUGGAGGAACACCGGUGGCGAAGGCGGCCAACUGGACGAGUACUGACGCUGAGGUACGAAAGCGUGGGGAGCAAACAGGAUUAGAUACCCUGGUAGUCCACGCCGUAAACGAUGGAUAUUAGGUGUCGGGGGUAACCCUUCGGUGCCGCAGUUAACGC